rnacentral:tRNA from 1 species
GCGAUCUUAGUUUAUUUGUAGAAUUGUGGUUUGUCUUGCUAUUGGAGGUGUUAGCCAGAUCGCU